AUAAUAAUUUUUUUAAAGAGCCCUAGAUUUUUAGAGUCAGGAAGCAGUCUCAUCUAGAAAUAUAACUUGUCAUAAAUGUAUAUUUUUCUGAGAAACAGACUCCGUACUCUUGGUUCUAUUUUUCCUAAACGCUUAAGAUUUCUUUUGAUUUUUUGACUUUGAAGAGUUCUGGACUUUUCUGCUGAAGAUCAAGAUAGCCUUUCCAAAAGGCAAAUACUGACCAUGAAAAUGCUAAGCGUGGAAUAGGAAUAUGUUCAAAAUGUGAUAUACAUGUGCCACCUAGAAACCACUCAAAUAUUUUGAAAGCUUCUUUUCUCCCCAGGGCUCUAUUUUCCAUGACAAAGUCCCACACAUCCCAAAUGGCUGUUUCAGACUUUGUUGAGCAUCAGAAUACUGCCACCAUCAGCAGUUUGGAAUCAGACAGACCUGUAUUCAGAUCCCACCUCUGUUGCCUAUGAGCUGUGCUGAUGGAGGGCAAAUUUACGCAAACUCCCUGGUCCUCAGUUUCUUCAGUUGUGAAAUGGGGUGAUUGAUCAUACCCACCUCAUAGAGUUGUGGUGAGGAUUAAAUGAUGGCACUUCACUUGGUGAGGUUUAAAUGAGUUUCAGUGAUCUUGUUCUUGGAAUAGUGUGAGUGUCCAUGGAAUCCUAGCUUGUGUGUAUGUAUUAGAAAUCUAGAAACUCAGGAACAUAUGGCCCCAUGGAGACCAGUGCCUCUUGUUGUCUUUAAAACUCCAUCUCAGUUGUGAUACAUCAUUUCCUGUGUCAGUGUAAGGAAUUCACUCCUCUGAAGUGAAGUUGUGUAAAAUCCUCCUUUUCUGGAGUGGACAGCCCAGAAAUCCAGUUCCAUGUAUUUGUCUCAUUUCCCUUUGGACUUAACUUUGCAACUUCCCUGGGGGGAAAGAGUGAGAUGUGAAAACCGGGCUUCAGGACCACUUGACUGAUGGAGGAAGGCCCUGCCCAGUGCCACCUGGGUGCCCAGGGGAGCAGGACCGGGUCUGUGUUUCUGGAAGGCCUGGACAUCUCUCUGUGUCUUCAGGGAAGAAGGAAGAAGAGGAAGUUGUGCGAAAGGCAAAUUUUUGAGUCAGAAUUUUUCACUGGAAUCUUGGCCUCCUUGCAUAUCUUUGGCAAGUCAUCUUCUUGUGUCUUUGAACCCCAGUUGUCUCAGUUAUAAAAUGGAGUUCUCUGCUUCAGCAGUGGUUGUGUGGAUCAACGGAGACCGUGGCUUUGCUUUUGAACUGCAGAGGGCACGCAGUAUUCAUUGAUAUUCUCUAGAGAGAGUGUCCAAUUUCUCUUAGCAUCCCCGCAGACACCUGAACAAGCAGGGAGCUGCCCUGAACACUCUGUAACCUCUCCUGGAGCAACAGCUGGGUCGAGGGAGAGUCUGAGGAGCGUCUAGCCCCACCGUCUUGUUCUCAGACCCCCUGUGCUGCUCCUGGGCCCAGAAUGUGGUCCUUGGCCUGUGUUGCAGCAUCCCUCGGAGCACGUGGGAAAGCCCGACCCGACAAGAGGCAGUUCGAGGAGUCACAGCCCUUUGUGCCACCCUGCGCCUUCAUGCACAUCCUUACGGGGCCCCAGGGCACGCCAGCCAGUGUCCAUGGUGUGGGAACAUAGUCUGAACAGACGGAUGUGGGGUUUUUAAGGUCAGUGAGAAGUCCACUGGGCCUUCCCUGAGUCCGGCCCAGCACUUGCAGUCGAACUUCCUGUAAUAAUGGGAAUGUUUAUAUGUCCAUGCCGGGCACCCGGUAGCUUUUAGCCACAUGUGAGAGGAGGACUCUUGAAAUGGGGCUCAUAUGAUUGAGGGGACUGAAUUUUUUUUUUUUUUUUUCCUUUUUGGCCACCACAGCAUAUGAUAUAGCUGGGCCAGAGAUCAGAUCUGAGCCUCAGUUGUAACCUAUGCUGCAUCUGUAGCAAGGCCGGAUCCUUUAACCCACUGUGCCGGCUUGGGGAUUGAACCUGCAUCCUGGUGCUACAGAGCCAUACCUAUCCCCUAGCACUGCACCAGGAACGCCAAGGAACUGAAUUUUAAAUUUUAUUUACUUGUAAUUAAUUCAAAUUUAAACAGUAACCUGUGGCCUGUGCCGCCAGAGGGGACAGUAUUGUAGAGCCCUGGAAAAGUCUGAGAAAGUUAGGAGGGUACCCGCACAGGCCAAAGGCUGGACCUCCCUUCCUUAGAAAGAACUGCGCGACUCAGAAGACCUGGUUUCAGCUCUGCCUCCCACUGUGGGUGGAUUUGUCACGGCCCUUGGCCUCCUCUCUGAUGUAUCAAACAGAAACACAGGGAGGAUUGCAUUAAAUUCUUUACAGUGCUAAAUUCUUAACUCUCUCUGAUCUGCCUUUUAUUUGCCUAGUUAUACUAGUGUGCUAUGGUUGCUCUAACAAAGUGCCACAGACAAAGUGCGUCAUAGGGGCUUCAAACAACAGCAAUUUAUGUCCUUAGCUUUGGAGGCCAGAAUUCCAAAAUCAGUUCCAUCGGGUCCUAGUCAUGGUGUCAGCAGGACUCGUUUGUGCUGGGAGCUCUAGGGGAAAAUCAGUGUCUGGUGGCUGCUGACAUUCCUUGGCUAGGGCUGUGUCACCGUCCCUGCCCCCGUGGCCAUAGGUCCUUAUCUUCUGUGUUUGAUCGCCCUUUGCCGGACACUUGUGAUGGCAUUUAGGGCCCAUAGAUGAUCCAGGAUAAUCUCCCUAUCUCAAGAUUUUAAAUUUAAUCACAUCUACAAAGACCCCUUUUAGCAUAUAAGGUCACAGUCACUGGUUCCAGGUGUUAGGACCUGAUGUCUUUGGGGCUCAUGAUUCGGCCUCAUACACGUAGUGAUAUUGAGGGAUGGUGGGUUUGCUUCACAUCCGAUACUGUGGCGUGAAAUUGGAUGGGUGAAAAUUGCAGGCUGCACACAGGCUCUCCUGGGGAGGAUUUUCCCACUGUUCUGAAUGGGGACCGAGUUGGGUUUUUUUAUUUUUAAAUUCCCCUUCCCUGUUCCCUCGUUGAUUUGUUUAUGCCAGAGCAUCUUUACUAAAAGACUGAUGAACUCAUGAACAUGCCCCAAUUCACAUUCUCCUGGUAGGGAAUUAAUCCCCCGAUCCCCAGCCAUCUCCGAAAUGUGUGGAAGGGGCUUUGGUUGCGAUUUGAGUCAAGAAGACCCCAAACUGUAUUGCCUGGGAGUGAGAGGAGAGAGCAUUUGCUGCAUCAGCUGGUAAGUGAUUAUUUUCUAGUGGCGGACUCCUAAAUUUGAAACGAUAAAAGAUUGGCCCUGACACAGUCCAGGAACAGCUUGUAACUGAUCUGGAACGUCAUGUUUUACUGUUCCUUCAUCAAACUGGAGAGCAGUGGUUGCGGAAGUGGGUUCUGUAAAUAUUGCUUGGAAGCUUUCAUGUUUCCACAGAAAACAGAUGCCAAGUGUUUUCAUCAUUAUCGAUGUUUGAAGUUACUGGAUUAAGCACUCGUCUACUCCCUGGAACAGCCAAAUGUCAGCAGUGGCCUUGGGUGGGGAGGAGAUGGAGGGUGGGGGAAGUAAAGAGAAUUUGUAUAAGUUUGCGGAGUAAGUUAGCUGGAGGGCCUUCGUUUUCUGCAAGUGAGGCCUAAAAGUGAAGUAUUUAUCAUCUCAGAGAUAGAGAAACAGAAUCAUCAUUAACAUGAGUCACAAUGCUGUGUUGUUCAACAGGGAACAAGAUGACUUAGGGGCAGAAUAAAACGACUUCAUUUGUGUCUCUUAGGAACACAGCGUUCCGUGGUCUGCUGGUCUGCAUAAGCCCUUGGGUAAAAGAAUGGCCACGUGUCUGUUCUGUUCCCCAAGGUGAUCGGCGGCUUUGUUACUGCCGUCCCUCUGGGGUUGCCUUUCAGAUAAUUAACUGAUGAUGGCGAUGGUGUGUUUCUUCAGGUCCAGGCACUGUGCUUUACUUGUGCGAUCGUCUAAUCCUCACAUUGUCCUCUAGGGUAAGUGUCAUUGUCCCUGUUUUAUAGAUGAGGAAGACAAGGCUGGAGAGGUUUGGCGACUGCCAGCUCGCUACUAGGUGUCCCAGCCGAGGUCUGACCCUUUGGCUUCUGAUCCAGAGCCCGGCUCUUUGUCCCUCGCUCUCUCCUCUCUCAUUAGAUGAGCUUGGGAAUUCCCUUCACUCUCGCUCAAAAGCCCACGUAAUUCCUUUGGCAAAGUUUGCCCCGCCGGGUUCAUUCAUGGCCAUUGUUAGGCAGGUGAGGGUGCCUGUAAGGUUUUAGCUGCUUUGUGAAGUCUGAGAUACAGAUAUGUUUCCCCUGCCCCCUCCGGCAGGAAGGAUAAUUUCCCCUCAGAUUCCUAUCUUUUUCUGACCGAGGAGUUAACACCCUGGUUUUCAAGGUGUGCUUGUAGUGGGCCCUUGAGUUCUGCAGGCUGGGGCGGUAGAAUACCACGUUCACACAUGCCUUCGUUCCCUUAGCAGGUGUUUGCGGAGCUCCCAUCCAGGCCAGGUGUUGGGGACACACUUGUCCUCAGCCUCCUGGAGCCCGCAGAGUUUUUUAACAAGGGAGCGAUGGGCAUGUUAGGCCGGACAGUUCCUCCCUGUGUGGGCCUGUCCGGCUCAUGCUGGGUCUCACUCCUCCCUGCCCCUGACCCAUUCAAUUCCCAAGCAGGGAAAAAGCGAAAAAUGCCCGCACACACUUUCAUAGGCCUCCAGAGGGCGCCCCUGCCCCCUGAAUUUGUUAGAAACAGAAAAGUUUGGAUGCACGACUUGGGUGUGGUGCACACUUGUCUUUUUCUAGGAAUUUGGCCCAUUUUAAGUGAGGACAAUAGAAGGAGGAAUUUAAAAAGCAGAAGGACCACCAAAUUCCUUUAUCAGAGUCCUGAACUGAGAAGUUGAGGUUUGGGAUGCUGCCUGCUGGGCGGGACCAGGAAGACUGCCUUCCUCCUCAUCCUCGGACCCCCCCCCCACCCCCGCUUCCCUGCCCCCAUCUUGAUCAGAGGGUAAAUCAGAUGAACCUGAACGACUGAGCCUGAGCCAGAGGCUGAGGGAGACCCUGGCCAGGAGGCGUGGAGAGGGGCUAGUGACCCAAAGCUCCGUGGGGGAAGGGCAGGGGACAAGGACUCCUGGAUGAGGCUGAUCUUGAGGAGACUGAUCGGCAGCUGGAGGGCCGCCUCUUUUCCCCACCCUGCAGACAGAGCGUGUGCUGAUUCAGCUCAUAGCAAGCCUUUCCCAGCACCUCCCACCCGCCCUCCGUACUGUUAACGGCAUAGCCAAAGAUUUACCCAGAGAAGGUGGCUGGGGCCCUGGCUUCAGUAAAGCUCAGCAUCUGGCCUUCUUUCCCUCAUGAAACUUCCUAAGUGCUGAGCACUGUCCAGGGUCUGGGAGAGAAGGAAGUAAACAGUCUUUGCCUCCGUGGAGUUUGGAGACCAGCAGGAGUGACAGACCGUUUCAAGAAGCCUGACUCCUUGGAACAGGCAAAUGCCAGUGGUGACCUGGGGAGGGGAGAUGUUGGACUCGCAUGUGCGGGCGAGAGUGUGUGUGGGGGCAGAACCAUCACGCCCAGCUGGUGGAGACCGAGCAUGGUACAGCCUCUACGGAGGAGAACAAAGGUUAAGAUUCCUGUACCUUAGGACUCAGGGAUGCUGUUCUUACUGAUACACUGCAGAGAAACUCCGCUAGGAAUAUGGAGUCGUGUACCGAGCCUGUUCAUGGCAGCUUCCUCUGUAGCCGUUAAAGCAUCCUCCUCAGUGCUGAACAGGAGAAUGAACGAAUACGUUCACACAUCAGGAGGUGUCUGUGAAAAUGUGUGAACCGAAACUUCAUGCCUGUGGACGUGUCUCACGAAUCUGGUCAUGAACAACAAAAGCAAGUUGCAGAGUAAUACGUGCAGGAUGAUCCCACUGAUACCAAGUUUAAAAACACACCGAAGAAGGCAACAUAUUGCUUAGGCAUACAAGCAUAUAUAGGAAAGAUGGAAUGAAGUGCAUAGGAGUGAAAAGCCCUGAAUUUAAAUUAGCAGGUAACUUUAGGGAGGAAGAAGGGGAUUUGUUUGCAUGGGCAUGCAAGGAUCGUUAACCAUGGCCCUGUUUUAUAUUCAAAGGUGAGUGGGAUGGUGGGUACGUUGGUAUUGUUGCAUUAUCAUUUAUAUUCAGUGCCUACACAUCAUCCGCUUCAUCUGUUCCCUUCUGUCCUUCCUGAUAAAACCUCCCUUUUGUUUAGGCAUCUACCCUCCCUUUCGGCAUCCUUUGGGGGCCUCAGGGAAGCUGACCCACCCUCAGGCUUGGGGUACAUGGACUCAUCAGAUUAAGGACCCAUCCUUCUUACCAGCAGUUGGUUCAGAAAAGGCCAUGUGUCCAUUUGCGUUCAAUUAAAGUUGGCAAGGUUUGCUGAAGUCUUCCGGGAAGCAGCACUGUCUCUUAAGAAGAGAGCUGCAGGAAGACUCUCUGUCUCUGUCGCCCAGGCUCUGUCUUUCUUCCUGGCCCCAGAAGAGGAAGCUGAUAGCCUGGCUUGCCAUGGCCGUCCUCCUCCAGCAGUGGGCGGAACAGCCUUACAAAGCAACCAGCACUGUGAGUGGUGGAGUGGAGAGACGAUCAGGUGUGUAGAUUGUAUCAUGCUGGCUCUGAGAGCCGCCUCACCUUGGCUCUUCUAAGAAUGGGAGCCAGUAAACAUUCCUGAGAUGUAAGCUACCUUGGUCUGGGCUUUCCAUUGUCUUGCUGCUGCGAGCAUUCUCUCUGUGCCACAGAGGUUGCUAUGGAAGCACAUAGCACACAGCAGUUUCCUAAUCAGGAAAGCUAAGUGUUUCUUAAUUCACUCAACUUUAAGCUUUUCUCCUGUUUUCACUAUAAACAUUUGUCCUGCUCGCAAGGGUUAGCCAUGGAGGAAAACUCAUGAACAGGAAGGAAACCAAAGGUUUAAUGGAAAAGAUCUGGAAGAAUCUGGAGUGGUUGACUUUUUCUGAGAACACGUGUAUUAGUUUCCUGUGUUUGCUGCAGCAAAUUAUUAUAAACCAGGGAGAGAAACAACAGUAUUUUUUGAUCUCCCAGUCCCGGGGCCAGAAACCCAAAAUCAAAAUGUCAGCAGGGCAGCGUGCCCUGCAAAGGCUUAUUACCUAAGGGAGGUUUCUGUCCCUUGACUCUUCCGGCUUCCGGUGGCUCUUGGCAUCAUUCUCAUCUCUACCUGCACCUUCACAGAGUCUCCUCCUUGUGUGUCUGAGUGUCCCCUCUUCUGUUUCGUAUAAGGACACGUGUCAUUGGAUUUAGGGCCGCCUGGACAUUCAGGAUGGUCUCAUCUCAAAAUCUUUAACUUAAUUAUAUCUGCAAAGACCGGUUUGCCAAAUAAGGUCAUGUUCACAGGUUUGGGGAUGUGGACAUACCUUUUUUUUUUUUUUUUUUUUUUUUUUUUUUUGGUGCCAGCAUUCACCCCACUAUAAAAUAGUUUUCCUCUGUCAUGAUUUAUAUUGCAAACAGGUAACAUAGUUCUCAAAAGUGGUUCCUGAGUCAUAAAAAUAGGAAUAAAUCUGAGUUCCCAUAGUGGCUCAGCGGAAAUGAAUCUGACUAGCAUCCAUGGGGACGCAGGUUCAAUCCCUGGCCUUGCUCUAUGGGUUAAGGAUCUGGUGUUGCCAUGAGCUGUGGUGUGGGUCACAGAUGUGGCUUGAAUCUGGCCUUGCUGUGGCUGUGGUAUAGGCUAGUGAUUACAGCUCUGAUUCGAUCCCUGGCCUGGGAACCUCCCUGUGACGAGGGUGCGGCCCUAAAAAGACC
rnacentral:lncRNA from 1 species